UACGUGUAGGUAAGCUGAAUGUACCGUAAGGAUAAGGAUCGGCUAAACUCCGUGCCAGCAGCCGCGGUAAUACGGAGGAUCCAAGCGUUAUCCGGAUUUAUUGGGUUUAAAAGGGUGCGUAGGCGGCUUAUUAAGUCAGGGGUGAAAGACGGUGGCUCAACCAUCGCAGUGCCCGUUGAUACUGAUGAGCUUGAAUACACUAGAGGUAGGCGGAAUGGUGACAAGUAGCGGUGAAAUGCAUAGAUAUGUCACAGAACACCGAUUGCGAAGGCACGCUUACUAUGGUGUUAUUGACGCUGAGGCAACGAAAGCGGUGGGGAUACAAACAGGAUUAGACUACCCUGGUAG
rnacentral:rRNA from 1 species